UAAAGAAUCAAAGACAAAUCAGUUUCCGAUGUGAAGAAGAAACUGUAAACUUCAAGUUAGGUGAGAAAUCCUUCUUAGCUCAGUAUCAGCAAAUUUUAUGACAUUCUGCCUUACCACAAGCCGAUAGCCUUCCACCAGAUGCCUCCUACUCCAAGCCAGAUUAUAAUAUUCACCACCGAUAUCAGGAAACCAUAUCCCCACCAUUUUGCUAGUGGUACAUAGCCCGCCCCAUAGAAUACAGGUGCGGAUCCAAUUCCAUAAUGAGUAAUGCCUCCCAUUAGGUUGGAGAGGAAUGAUAGAACAAGGGCUCCCAAAUACGAUGGAGUGCCCAAAGCACUAGCCACAGACAAGAAGGCUGUAAACAUGGCACCAAUAUGAGCAGCUCCACUGGCAAAGAAGUAAUGCGAGUAGAAAUAGAGAAGAACCAGAAUGCCAAAUGACAUUUGCCAUGAAAGACCUAAUCCACCUACGACCUGUAAAAAUGAGCAGAUCAUUGACAUGAAAGGCAAUUCCAAACAUCUGAAUUUUUAAUUUCCAUCAGACCUGUGCUACAACCUUCGUAAAAAAGGUUCCUAGUCUGAUUGCCAAGGCAGAAGCAUUGAAUACAGCAGUGUCAGAACAACUUAGCCUAAAAGAAAAGGAACAUCCUAGGGCAUUGUUUCAUAGGACUCAAAUGGACACGCCAAAGUAAUAUGAAAAUAUUAAUAGAACAUGAAAACAGAACUAGAGAGAGCCAAAUAAUCAUACUGACUAGAUAUAUAUAUUACAAUGUAGAGCACAAGUAUUUCAAUAGUUUGCAUUAUUUAAGAGAAGAUAUAAAUAGCCAAUGAUAGUCUGGUUUUUCCUUUCUAUUUUCCUUUUGAGAAAACAUGUGAUCCCAAGUAUUUCCAGAAAAAGCAAAGCACCGCAUGUAGAUUAUGGUGAUGGCUCUUUGGUGAUUCCAUAAAAAGUUUUAGUAAUUGGACAUGGCAGAGAGAAAAUAAGACGAAAGUACAAGGAAAACAGGACAAACCUUAACAACGGUUUGACUAAACCAUGAGAUGAGACCAUAUUUGUUCAAAUACCCAGCCAUAGCGAUGAGUGCAGCAAACCAAGUAAGUGUAUCCCAUGCAACUGAUUCAGCAAGACACUCCUUCCAUGUUACUACCCCAGUCACAAGUAGGACAGAUAACCCAAGAAUGGCAGCGGU
rnacentral:lncRNA from 1 species